rnacentral:rRNA from 1 species
GGCGAACGCUGGCGGCAGGCCUAACACAUGCAAGUCGAACGGACCUUUCGGGGUUAGUGGCGGACGGGUGAGUAACACGUGGGAACGUGCCUUUAGGUUCGGAAUAGCUCCUGGAAACGGGUGGUAAUGCCGAAUGUGCCCUUCGGGGGAAAGAUUUAUCGCCUUUAGAGCGGCCCGCGUCUGAUUAGCUAGUUGGUUGAGGUAACGGCUCACCAAGGCGACGAUCAGUAGCUGGUCUGAGAGGAUGGCCAGCCACAUUGGGACUGAGACACGGCCCAAACUCCUACGGGAGGCAGCAGUGGGGAAUCUUGCGCAAUGGGCGAAAGCCUGACGCAGCCAUGCCGCGUGAAUGAUGAAGGUCUUAGGAUUGUAAAAUUCUUUCACCGGGGACGAUAAUGACGGUACCCGGAGAAGAAGCCCCGGCUAACUUCGUG